rnacentral:lncRNA from 1 species
GUAGUAGUGGAGGACUUUCUCAAAUCAGGUGUAAAUGACUUACCUAUUUACAGUAGCAAGUGAGGAAAAAGCUGCAAUUUUCUGUUAAGGAGUUUGGGUUAUGCCUCUGAGAACAGAGGAAGCAGCCAUGUUAGCAUUACUGAAGGCAAAAGCAGCCUUGCAUUUACCUGCAUGAUGGUAGAGGGCAUUCUGAUUUUCUGGUUAUUCUUUAGACUGUCUCAAAUCCUUUUUGUCUUUUCCCAUUUCACUAAGGGAAUUCAAAAGGACCUAGCUGAAAUAACCCUUAAUCCUCUCCUAACUGCAGACCUCUCAGUCUCACUCUGCUCCAUCUGAAAAUAUCCAACUCCUCUUUGGGAUCCUUAUAAAAUCUCCCUUUUGUGAACAUACACUUUAUACAGUCAACUUGAUGACUUGCUGCUUCCCAUCAGAUCUAUUUUGGAGAUAUUUGCAAAACUACAUUUAUUACCUCAUAUCACAGUUAUUCAUUCACAUCACUAUUUCCAUUUGCUGACUAAGAAAGAAAACCUUUCUGGUUUUGGCAUCUGCCUUAGCAGCAGCAGUCUGAGCAGACAGCCUGGAAGACCUCCUCUUGGGCUUCUUCUUAGCCUCACAUUCUUCAGAGCUUACCUUCUUCUGGAACUUCCUGGCUGAGAGCACAAGGCUCAUGCAGGUGCUGCAGGCAGCGGCUCUCAGGAACCUUCUAAAACUGUGCUGCCUGGCCGCUGCUGCUAUUCCCACCACAUGAGUUGCUGUGACACACCAAGUAUUCAAUUAUUUUAAUGCAGUUUUUACCAUAAUUGAGACAUAACUAUAGGCAAUUUUAAAUCUCUAAAUUUUGUGAUUUUAGCUACAACACACCUUAUAAAAAUCAAAUCCUUACUAUUAUGUUUUGUUUAUUCUGCU